GAUGAACGCUAGCGGCAGGCUUAAUACAUGCAAGUCGAGGGGUAGCAAGAUUGUAGCAAUACAAUUGUUGACGACCGGCAAACGGGUGCGGAACACGUACACAACCUUCCUACAAGUGGGGAAUAGCCCAGAGAAAUUUGGAUUAAUACCCCGUAACAUAGCGAUGUGGCAUCACAUUGCUAUUAUAGCUUCGGCGCUUGUUGAUGGGUGUGCGGCUGAUUAGAUAGUUGGCGGGGUAACGGCCCACCAAGUCUACGAUCAGUAGCUGAUGUGAGAGCAUGAUCAGCCACACGGGCACUGAGACACGGGCCCGACUCCUACGGGAGGCAGCAGUAAGGAAUAUUGGUCAAUGGACGCAAGUCUGAACCAGCCAUGCCGCGUGAAGGAUUAAGGUCCUCUGGAUUGUAAACUUCUUUUAUCUGGGACGAAAAAAGGCGAUUCUUCGUCACUUGACGGUACCAGAUGAAUAAGCACCGGCUAACUCCGUGCCAGCAGCCGCCGUAAUAC
rnacentral:rRNA from 1 species